GGCCUAACACAUGCAAGUCGAGCGGUAGAGAGAAGCUUGCUUCUCUUGAGAGCGGCGGACGGGUGAGUAAUGCCUAGGAAUCUGCCUGGUAGUGGGGGAUAACGUUCGGAAACGGACGCUAAUACCGCAUACGUCCUACGGGAGAAAGCAGGGGACCUUCGGGCCUUGCGCUAUCAGAUGAGCCUAGGUCGGAUUAGCUAGUUGGUGAGGUAAUGGCUCACCAAGGCGACGAUCCGUAACUGGUCUGAGAGGAUGAUCAGUCACACUGGAACUGAGACACGGUCCAGACUCCUACGGGAGGCAGCAGUGGGGAAUAUUGGACAAUGGGCGAAAGCCUGAUCCAGCCAUGCCGCGUGUGUGAAGAAGGUCUUCGGAUUGUAAAGCACUUUAAGUUGGGAGGAAGGGUUGUAGGUUAAUACUCUGCAAUUUUGACGUUACCGACAGAAUAAGCACCGGCUAACUCUGUGCCAGCAGCCGCGGUAAUACAGAGGGUGCAAGCGUUAAUCGGAAUUACUGGGCGUAAAGCGCGCGUAGGUGGUUUGUUAAGUUGGAUGUGAAAUCCCCGGGCUCAACCUGGGAACUGCAUUCAAAACUGACUGACUAGAGUAUGGUAGAGGGUGGUGGAAUUUCCUGUGUAGCGGUGAAAUGCGUAGAUAUAGGAAGGAACACCAGUGGCGAAGGCGACCACCUGGACUAAUACUGACACUGAGGUGCGAAAGCGUGGGGAGCAAACAGGAUCAGAUACCCUGGUAGUCCACGCCGUAAACGAUGUCAACUAGCCGUUGGAAGCCUUGAGCUUUUAGUGGCGCAGCUAACGCAUUAAGUUGACCGCCUGGGGAGUACGGCCGCAAGGUUAAAACUCAAAGGAAUUGACGG
rnacentral:rRNA from 1 species